ACAGAGUGUGCACCUUCUUCUCCUGUCUGGAUUUCAACCCAUCAUUGCAGUGUUGUACAGGGCUUUAUACUGGGGACAUGCCUACGCUGCAGUUUUGGAUGGCUGGAGCCUGCACAUGUCCAUCAAACCACACACAUGCCAAUUUGGAUCUCAGCACUAAGUGACAAGAAGGCUGAGACAUCAUCUGGAAGCUCAUGCUUGUUUGUAUGUGCUGGUAAUUUGCCUUCCACUAGUGAUUUACUGAAUCAUUACAUUGCACUACAUUUCAUUAUAAUGAAGUUGUUCAGGCUACACUGUCACUCUAUAUCUCCAUCUAUCUGUAACAUCCAAAAUCGAUAACAAGAUUAGAUCCAGUGUCAGGGAGACAUGAGACGUGAGGCACCAACACCUCUCUGACUCACUGAAAUUCAUGUCUCAUAAUUACAAAGACGGAGAGAAUGCUAAUAUUAACUGAUCCAAGCUUGAAUACAAGAAGCCAAUACUAAUCCUAGAUUUAAGCGAUAGGCGUAAAUUGAUAUAGUACUUUUAACUCCAUUAAGACAACUGUAUUUGUCGCGUACGUACAUUUUUUAUUUUUUUUGUUAAACAUCCGAAUCCACUCUACUGAUGAUGGGCUCCAAGAACCUGC
ensembl:lncRNA